rnacentral:rRNA from 1 species
AGCGAACGCUGGCGGCAGGCUUAACACAUGCAAGUCGAGCGGGCAUCCUUGUGGUGUCAGCGGCAGACGGGUGAGUAACGCGUGGGAACGUGCCCUUCGGUUCGGAAUAACUCAGGGAAACUUGAGCUAAUACCGGAUACGUGCGAGAGCAGAAAGGUUUAUCUGCCGAAGGAUCGGCCCGCGUCUGAUUAGCUAGUUGGUGAGGUUAUGGCUCACCAAGGCGACGAUCAGUAGCUGGUCUGAGAGGAUGAUCAGCCACACUGGGACUGAGACACGGCCCAGACUCCUACGGGAGGCAGCAGUGGGGAAUAUUGGACAAUGGGGGCAACCCUGAUCCAGCCAUGCCGCGUGAGUGAUGACGGCCUUAGGGUUGUAAAGCUCUUUUCGCCGGGACGAUAAUGACGGUACCGGAGGAAUAAGCCCCGGCUAACUUCGU